rnacentral:rRNA from 1 species
AUUGAACGCUGGCGGCAUGCCUUACACAUGCAAGUCGAACGGUAACAGGUCUUCGGAUGCUGACGAGUGGCGAACGGGUGAGUAAUACAUCGGAACGUGCCUAGUAGUGGGGGAUAACUACUCGAAAGAGUGGCUAAUACCGCAUGAGAUCUACGGAUGAAAGCAGGGGACCGCAAGACCUUGUGUACUAGAGCGGCCGAUGGCAGAUUAGGUAGUUGGUGGGAUAAAAGCUUACCAAGCCGACGAUCUGUAGCUGGUCUGAGAGGACGAUCAGCCACACUGGGACUGAGACACGGCCCAGACGCCUACGGGAGGCAGCAGUGGGGAAUUUUGGACAAUGGGCGCAAGCCUGAUCCAGCAAUGCCGCGUGCAGGAUGAAGGCCUUCGGGUUGUAAACUGCUUUUGUACGGAACGAAAAGCCCCGGGUUAAUACCCUGGGGUCAUGACGGUACCGUAAGAAUAAGCACCGGCUAACUACGUGCCAGCCGCCGCGGUAA